rnacentral:RNase_P_RNA from 1 species
UCUGUCGCUUUGCCUUUCAGGGCAAAGAGGAAAGUCCGGACAACACAGAGCACCAUACUUCCUAACGGGAAGGGCUUGGAAACAAGUACAGAAAGUGCCGCAGAAAAGAUACCGCCCGCAAGGGUAAGGGUGAAAAUGUGAGGUAAGAGCUCACACGUCGGCAGGUGACUGUCCGAUGGGGUAAACCUUAUGGGUUGAAAGACCAUGUAAACCGGGGUUUGAGGGCUGCUCGUCCAAUCCCGGAGGGUAGGUCGAUAGAGGCAUCCGGUGACGGAUGUCCCAGAUAAAUGACAGAAACCGGAGCAAUCCGGAUACAGAAUCCGGCUUACAGGCGGUUGUUUUUC